rnacentral:rRNA from 1 species
UUCCGGUUGAUCCUGCCGGACCCUACUGCUAUAGGGGUGGGAUUAAGACAUGCAAGUCGAACGUUUCUAGGCUAUGGUAGAGACGUGGCAUACGGCUCAGUAACAUGUGGCUAACCUGCCCUUAGGACAGGGAUACCCCCGGGAAACUGGGGUUAAUCCCUGAUGGGUGAGGAUGCCUGGAAUGGCUCUUCGCUGAAAGGACGCUGAAACCAUGCUUUUCAACGUUGCCUAAGGAUGGGGCCGCACCCGAUCAGGUUGUUGGUGAGGUAAUGGCUCACCAAGCCUUUGACCGGUACGGGCCGUGAGAGCGGGAGCCCGGAGAUGGGCACUGAGAUAAGGGCCCAGGCCCUACGGGGCGCAGCAGUCGCGAAAACUCCGCAAUGCACGAAAGUGUGACGGGGCUACCCCUAGUGCCAUCCGCUGAGGGUGGCUUUUGCUUGGUGUAAUGAGCCAGGAGAAUAAGGAGAGGGCAAGUCUGGUGUCAGCCGCCGCGGUAAUACCAGCUCUCCGAGUUGUAGGGAUGAUUAUUGGGCUUAAAGCGUCCGUAGCCGGCUUAGCAAGUCCUCCGUUAAAUUCAGCAACCUAAUUGUUGAGCUGCGGGGGAUACUACUAGGCUAGGAGGCGGGAGAGGCCGACGGUAUUCUCGGGGUAGGGGUGAAAUCCUAUAAUCCCGGGAGGACCACCAGUGGCGAAGGCUGUCGGCUAAAACGCGCUCGACGGUGAGGGACGAAAGCUGGGGGAGCGAACUGGAUUAGAUACUCGGGUAGUCUCAGCUGUAAACGAUGCGGGCUAGGUGUUGGGGUGGCUACGAGCCACUCCAGUGCCGCAGGAAACCAUUAAGCCCGCUGCCUGGGGAGUACGGCGCAAGGCUGAACUUAAGGAAUUGGCGGGGAGCACACAAGGCGUGAAGCUUGCGUUUAAU